rnacentral:misc_RNA from 1 species
GAUGAAGAACGUAGCGAAAUGCGAUAAGUAAUGUGAAUUGCAGAAUUCAGUGAAUCAUCGAAUCUUUGAACGCACAUUGCGCCCGCCAGUAUUCUGGCGGGCAUGCCUGUUCGAGCGUCAUUUCAACCAUCAAGCCCCCCGGCUUGUGUUGGGGACCUGCGGCUGCCGCGGGCCCUGAAAAGCAGUGGCGGGCUCGCUGUCACACCGAGCGUAGUAGAUCUCAUCUCGCUCAGGGCGUGCUGCGGGUUCCGGCCGUUAAACCACCUUCAUAACCCAAGGUUGACCUCGGAUCAGGUAGGAAGACCCGCUGAACUUAAGCAUAUCAAUAAGCGGAGGA